UGCAGUAGUUGCAGUAGUAGCUGAGCUGGCCUGUCAUUGUAAUUACCCACUCCCGGCUCAGGGAGGUAGUGACGAAAAAUAGCGUUUCAAGGCCCUGUGAUUGGAAUGAGUACACUUUAAAUCCUUUAACGAGGAUCCAUUGGAGGGCACGUCUGGUGCCAGCAGCCGCGGUAGUUCCAGCUCCAAUUGCG
rfam:Lepisosteus oculatus unplaced genomic scaffold TNK7, whole genome shotgun sequence.